rnacentral:rRNA from 1 species
UAGCGUAUAUUAAAGUUGUUGCGGUUAAAAAGCUCGUAGUUGGAUUUCUGUUGAGAACAGGCGGUCCACCUUUUGGGUGAGUAUCUGCAUUGGUCUCGGCAUCUUCUCGAAAGACAUUCCUGCGCUUGAUUGCGUGGGGUGGAUCUCGGGACUUUUACUUUGAGGAAAUUAGAGUGUUCACGGCAGGCAUACGCCUUGAAUAUAUUAGCAUGGAAUAAUGAUAUAGGAUCUUGGUUCUAUUUUGUUGGUUUCUAGAGCUAAGAUAAUGAUUAAUAGGGACAAUUGGGGGCAUUCGUAUUAACGCGUC